UAAGUGAGAGCGCAGCAGUGAGACUGUGGGGGAUAAGCUUCAUAGUCGAGAGGGAAACAACCCAGACCACCAACUAAGGUCCCUAAGCGCGUGCUAAGUGGGAAAGGAUGUGGAGUUGCACAGACAACCAGGAGGUUGGCUUAGAAGCAGCCACCCUUGAAAGAGUGCGUAAUAGCUCACUGGUCAAGUGAUUCCGCGCCGACAAUGUAACGGGGCUCAAGCACGCCACCGAAGUUGUGGCAUUGACAUUAGUGGUAGGCCUUCGUGGUCCAGCCGUGUUGAUGGGUAGGAGAGCGUCGUGUGGCGAGUGAAGCGGCGGUGUGAACCAGCCGUGGAUGCCACACGAGUGAGAAUGCAGGCAUGAGUAGCGAAAGACGGGUGAGAAACCCGUCCUCCGGAAGACCAAGGGUUCCAGGGUCAAGCUAAUCUUCCCUGGGUAAGUCGGGACCUAAGGCGAGGCCGACAGGCGUAGUCGAUGGACAACGGGUUGAUAUUCCCGUACCGGCGAAGAACCGCCCAAGACAAUCCAGUAGUGCUAAGUAUCUGAAUCCCUUUGAUGGAUCCCUUCGGGGUGAAGCGUUGGGCCUAGCGUACGACCCCGUGCUGGUGCGUUUAGCGUAUUAACAGGUGUGACGCAGGAAGGUAGCCGAGCCGGGCGAUGGUUGUCCCGGUCUAAGGAUGUAGGGCGAACGAUAGGCAAAUCCGUCGUUCAUAUAGCCUGAGAUCUGAUGGGUAGACGCAAGUCGAAAUCGGUGAUCCUAUGCUGCCAAGAAAAGCAUCGACGCGAGGUUCUAGCUGCCCGUACCCCAAACCGACUCAGGUGGUCAGGUAGAGAAUACUAAGGAGAUCGAGAGAAUCGUGGUUAAGGAACUCGGCAAAAUGCCCCCGUAACUUCGGGAGAAGGGGGGCCUGAGGCGUGAACGGACUUGCUCCGGGAGCGUUCGAUGGCCGCAGAGACCAGUGGGAAGCGACUGUUUACUAAAAACACAGGUCCGUGCUAAGUCGCAAGACGAUGUAUACGGACUGACGCCUGCCCGGUGCUGGAAGGUUAAGAGGAACGGUUAGCCGCAAGGCGAAGCUGAGAAUUUAAGCCCCAGUAAACGGCGGUGGUAACUAUAACCAUCCUAAGGUAGCGAAAUUCCUUGUCGGGUAAGUUCCGACCUGCACGAAUGGCGUAACGACUUCCCAGCUGUCUCAACCGCGAACUCGGCGAAAUUGCAUUACGAGUAAAGAUGCUCGUUACGCGCAGCAGGACGGAAAGACCCCGUGACCUUUACUAUAGUUUGGUAUUGGUGUUCGGUGUGGCUUGUGUAGGAUAGGUGGGAGACGUUGAAGCGGGCACGCUAGUGUUCGUGGAGUCAUUGUUGAAAUACCACUCUGGUCACUCUGGAUAUCUAACUUCGGACCCUAAUCGGGUUCAGGGACAGUGCCUGAUGGGUAGUUUAACUGGGGCGGUUGCCUCCCAAAGAGUAACGGAGGCGCCCAAAGGUUCCCUCAACCUGGUUGGCAAUCAGGUGGCGAGUGUAAGUGCACAAGGGAGCUUGACUGUGAGACUGACAAGUCGAGCAGGGACGAAAGUCGGGACUAGUGAUCCGGCAGUGGCUUGUGGAAGCGCUGUCGCUCAACGGAUAAAAGGUACCUCGGGGAUAACAGGCUGAUCUUGCCCAAGAGUCCAUAUCGACGGCAUGGUUUGGCACCUCGAUGUCGGCUCGUCGCAUCCUGGGGCUGGAGUAGGUCCCAAGGGUUGGGCUGUUCGCCCAUUAAAGCGGUACGCGAGCUGGGUUUAGAACGUCGUGAGACAGUUCGGUCCCUAUCCGCUGCGCGCGCAGGAAAUUUGAGAAGAUCUAUCCCUAGUACGAGAGGACCGGGAUGGACGAACCUCUGGUGUGUCAGUUGUUCCGCCAGGAGCACCGCUGAUUAGCUACGUUCGGAACGGAUAACCGCUGAAAGCAUCUAAGCGGGAAGCCGGCUUCGAGAUGAGAUUUCCAUCCCUUCGGGGGAGAGGCUCCCAGCCAGACGACUGGGUUGAUAGGCCGGAUGUGGAAGACAGGACUAAAGACUGUCGGAGCUGACCGGUACUAAUAAGCCGAUAACUUGAUAA
rnacentral:rRNA from 1 species